UGCAAGUCGAACGAGAAAGUUUCCUUCGGGGAAUGAGUAAAGUGGCGCAAGGGUGAGUAACACGUGAGUAAUCUGCCUUCGAAUCUGGGAUAACUUGACGAAAGUUAAGCUAAUACCGGAUAAGACCACGUUUCACAAGAAAUGCGGUCAAAGGGGUCUCAAACCCCGUUUGAAGAUGAGUUCGCGUACCAUUAGCUUGUUGGUGAGAUAACAGCUCACCAAGGCGACGAUGGUUAGCCGGCCUGAGAGGGUGAUCGGCCACACUGGAACUGAGACACGGUCCAGACUCCUACGGGAGGCAGCAGUGGGGAAUUUUGCGCAAUGGGCGAAAGCCUGACGCAGCAACGCCGCGUGAGCGAUGAAGGCCUUCGGGUCGUAAAGCUCUGUCAAGUGGGAAGAACACAAUGACGGUACCACUAGAGGAAGCCCCGGCUAACUUCGUGCCAGCAGCCGCGGUAAUACGAAGGGGGCAAGCGUUGUUCGGAAUUAUUGGGCGUAAAGCGUGUGUAGGUGGUUGUUCAAGUCAGACGUGUAAGCCCUCGGCUCAACCGAGGAAUUGCGUUUGAAACUGAUCGACUUGAGUACAGGAGAGGAAAGCGGAAUUCCCAGUGUAGCGGUGAAAUGCGUUGAUAUUGGGAAGAACACCGGUGGCGAAGGCGGCUUUCUGGCCUGUUACUGACACUGAGAUACGAAAGCUAGGGGAGCAAAGGGGAUUAGAUACCCCCGUAGUCCUAGCCGUAAACGAUGGGCACUAGGUGCGGGGGGUAUUGAUCCCCUCUGUG
rnacentral:rRNA from 1 species